CUGCUGAAGAUUUCUUGAGGAAAAGCAGCCUGCAGCAUGAUGAUGUGUAUGGGUGGAAAUGAAACUGGAAUAAAGACUUCAGCUUAUUUUUGCCUGGAAGCUAGAUCUUAAUGAAAUGGCUGCAGCCAGCAUGCCUUAGCUCUCUGACUGCGAUGAGGAUUGUUUGAAUCUUGUGAUGAGGAUACAGAAAGUUGCCUUGCAUCUAUCACCCAGCCUGCUACCUGCAGUAGUAUGGACUGUAAGCACAGUUCAGAUUGCAGAAAUGGGAGAGUGAAUUUGCAAAGUUGACAGGAACUAUCAGCUACUGUUCUGAUAAAGGAAAGUGAGGGCUUCCUCAUGAAUAGGACGACUAAUGACCAGUGUUUGUUCUGUUAAUUUCACCAAGCAACGCAAACCCAGACAUGUGCAGUUACGUUUUGGUCCCAUUGAACCCUGUAGCCAUGGAUUUUAGUGGUAUUAGAAUUUCAC